UUGGUCCAAGAAGCAUGCGUCAAAACCAUCUCAAUCGCCCUCUAAACUUUUCCUUAAUGAGUGUCACUUCCACUUUUAUAUGAAUGCCAUUAUUCCUUAUCUAGUCCAUCCUUGUUUAUUUGCACAUCCAUUUUUUAGAACCAUCAUUUCUGUCAAGCUAAUAUUUUGAAUGUGUUGUUUCUUCACUGUCCACUACUUGUUGCCGUAAAUAGUAA
rnacentral:misc_RNA from 1 species